GACAGAGGGGGCAAGCGUUGCUCGGAAUCACUGGGCGUAAAGGGCGCGUAGGCGGGGCGGCAAGUCGGUCGUGAAAGCCCCCGGCUUAACCGGGGAGGGUCGGCCGAGACUGCCGUUCUUGAGGGAUGCAGAGGAGACUGGAAUUCCCGGUGUAGCGGUGAAAUGUGUAGAGAUCGGGAGGAACACCGGUGGCGAAGGCGGGUCUCUGGGCAUCUCCUGACGCUGAGGCGCGAAAGCGUGGGGAGCAAACGGG
rnacentral:rRNA from 1 species